CCAGACUCCUACGGGAGGCAGCAGUGAGGAAUAUUGGUCAAUGGGCGCGAGCCUGAACCAGCCAAGUAGCGUGAAGGAUGACUGCCCUACGGGUUGUAAACUUCUUUUAUAAAGGAAUAAAGUGAGGCACGUGUGCCUUUUUGUAUGUACUUUAUGAAUAAGGAUCGGCUAACUCCGUGCCAGCAGCCGCGGUAAUACGGAGGAUCCGAGCGUUAUCCGGAUUUAUUGGGUUUAAAGGGUGCGUAGGCGGGAUGCCAAGUCAGCGGUAAAAAUGCGGUGCUCAACGCCGUCGAGCCGUUGAAACUGGCGUUCUUGAGUGGGCGAGAAGUAUGCGGAAUGCGUGGUGCAGCGGUGAAAUGCAUAGAUAUCACGCAGAACCCCGAUUGCGAAGGCAGCAUGCCGGCUUCCGACUGACGCUGAAGCACGAAAGCGUGGGGAUCGAACAGGAUUAGAUACCCCGGUA
rnacentral:rRNA from 1 species